UCUUCUUUUUCUUUUAUUGCUUGUGCUUUUGGUGUCAUAUCUAAGAACCACUGUUUAAUUCAAAAUCACAAAGAUUUACAUCCUUGUUUCUUCUUAAGAGUUUUCUAGUCUUGGCUUAUACUUAGGUCUUUGAUCUAUUUUGAGUUAUUUUUUGCAUAUAGUGUGGGGUAGGGAUCCAAUUUCAUUUGUUUGCAUAUGGCUAUCCAGUUGUCCCAGCACCAUGUGCUGAAAAGAUUAUUCUUUCCUCAUUCAAUUAUCUUGACACCCUUGUUGAACACUAUAUGUGAGAGUUUAUUUCUGGCCUCUCAAUUCUAUUACAUUGGUCUAUAAGUCUGUCCUUAUGCCGGUAUUACAUAUUGUAUCCUUCUUAAGGUGUCUGCUUAUAUGCAUUCAUUCAUCAAAUGCUCAGUAGGCAACUACCACAUACCAGACACUCUCUAGGUGCUGUAGAUUGGAACUAAAGCACAGCUGGAGCUUACCUUUUUAGAGAAGACAUAUAAUUAAACUAUUCAUAAGUAACAUACAUAGUUUAUGAAACAAAGAAGAGGAAGUUUUGGUAGUAGGACUAAAAUGUAGACAGGAUAGCCAGGGGAAGGUGACUCUCAAUAAAGACCUGAAGGAAGGAAGCUGGGCAGGCUUUCUUCUGGGGGAAAAGCAUGUUGGGUCAGGGGAAAGGCAAAUGUAAAGGCCCUGAGGCAGUAGCCUGGCUGUUCAAGGAACACAGAGGAAGGCCUGUGUGUCUGGAAUGGAUUGCAAGAACGUUGAGAGGAGUUGAUGAUAAGGGCAGAGAGAUAAUCAUGGGCCUGAUUCUAUAGGGUUUCAAAAGUCAUAGUGAGGACAUUGACUUUUAUUUUAAAUCAGAUGGGAACCUGCUGGAGGUUUCUGGAUGGAGAAGUGAUGUGUAAGGUUAUUAACAAAACCACUGUGGCUGCUGUGUUGAGACCAGACAAAAGCAGAAGGGUGGCCCAAGAACAGAGCCCAAGACUGUCUGGCCAUCAGAGAGAGUGGGCAAGAAGCACACACAACAAAACACACACAAAAAAAGGGAGAGAGGAAGAGAGAAAUGGAGGGGAGGAGACAUGGAGGGAGGGAAGGAGGAAGAGAUACUAAAGAAGAGUGGUCAGAAAGGCAGGAGGAAAAGCAAGUGAUGUAGGGACCUGAAAAUCAAAUGAAAACAGUGUUUCCAGGAGAGAGGAGUCAGGUAAGGUGAGGCCUGAGAAAGGACCAUGGCAUUAGCAAGGUGCUGAUCACCAGAGACCUUCAGAAGUGGUGUCUUGGUGGACUAAUGGUUCAAAAUAAUAUGAAAGAAGAAGAACUGGAGACAGUAAGCAUGAACAAUUUACACAAGUUUUGUUUAAAGACAAAUGAGGCAGUAAUUAGAGGGAAAUGUAAGGCCAGGGUAGAAGAAAUAACAGCAUGUUUAUGCACCGAUGAGGAUGAUCCUAUAGAAAGGGAAAAAGACAAUGCAAGUGAGAGUGAGGGAGUCUCCUGGAGCCUGUGCUGGAGACAUGUGAGAGAAUAGAAUCCAGCCCCUGAGUGUGGAGGUGUCCCUCAUGGGGCGCAGAUGUGGGCCAUCUGCAGUGACAGGAGAAAAAGUCAAAUACAUGGGCACAAAUGCAUGCAAGUGGUGUAGCUGGCGGGAGUUUUCAUGUAGUGCGCCCAUUUUCUCAGUGAGGUAGGAAGCAAGGUCAUGAGCCAAGAGCAAGGGAGGGAAGGAGGCACUGGAGGACUGAGGGAGGAGAAGGCAUGAAACAGUCAUGUGGAAGGGCAGGAGAGAGAAUGACCAUGGAAAUACACAUGCAUGCCAAGCAGCAUUGAGGGCUAUUUGAGGUCAGUGAUUAGGAAUCUAAAGUGAGGCAGGCCAUGAGUCAGAGGUAUGACUGUGGAGGUGGGAGGCUGAGAUCAGAAGGAAGACAGGUCAGUGGAGGAGAGGUCAAGGAUGUCAGCAGCCAUGGAUGUGGAAGGAGUGACAGCCACAACUUGCUCCAGGAUUCGGUGUUGUUGAAGGAAAAGGACCAGUCAGUGCUCAGAUUCCAUUUCUACCUGAUGCACUUCCCUAGUAAAUGGAGGAUAACCAAAUUGAGCAUCAUCCAAUUCAGUAAGUAACAAACAAGGUGGUAUUAUCAGAGAGAGGGCCACAGAUAGUCUUCUGUGAAGAGGCUAAGGGUGAGGGAGGGCUUGCUGGCAAUGAAACAAGGUUUCAGAGGUCUCACAGAAAUAUCUGCCAGUAGAAGAAUGACUUGUGGAGAGGAAGGUCCAAGUGCGGAGUGAGGAGAACAUGGCCAAGAGGUGACAUGGCUAAGAGGCAUGAUGGAGCUGCCAGUUUCUCAGUGGGACCCUCCUGAGGAAGGUGCUUCCCACUGGCCCAGAGCUAGUGAGUGCUUCCUGCCAGUGCCUGUCUGGAGCUUCUGCUCAGGCCUCCAACCAUUCAAGGGGGAAAGUGCUUUUUGGGCCUCAGAUGGUAGGAGUUAGUGAGGGCUCGCCCAUGGAAGGAGGGACUGAGCUCCAGGCUGGUGGGUUAGUUUUAACACUUCCACCAUCAUGGUGGAACUACAUAGUUGGUACUACUGUUAUCUCUAUUUUAAAAAACAGGCACAGAGAAGUUAAACAAGUUACUCAGGGUCACAAACCAGUAAAUGGCAGCAUGGGAUUAGGAAUCAGGAAAAUUAUAAACUACUAUAUAAAGAAGUUAAAAAGAAUGCUAUGCAUUGGUUUAGAUGGGAGGUUGAAGAUUUCCAUUUAUCUCUCAUAUCCAUUUGGAGAGAUCAUCAAAAGAACAGCAAAGAAACAAAAAGGCAUCCAUAAUAAUGAGGGAAAUGGGAAGAAGGCCAUCAGCACAUAGGAAAAGUCUGUAAAUUUCUGGAAAUCAGAAAAUAAAUCAAAGAGUAUAGCAUGAUAAAACUGAGUGUAGAAAAUUACAGCCUAGAACCCAGAUGGAGGCAGGCUUUGGCUAUGGAAAAAGCCAACCAGUACAGCAAAGCCUUGGAAAGGCUUUGUACCUGGACAAUGCCCUCAUAAUGGUAGGAAGAGUGAUAUGGAAGUUCAUCUCUCCCUAUAAUCCUAUGUGCAAAUGGCUGCAGCUAAGUAACUCUCAGAUGCAUACAUACAUGUGCCACACAUGCACACACAAAAUAGAUCUUUACUAAACAAAUUAAGUGAACUUUCUUGGGGUGGAAGGUAGGAGGACUAAGGGAGCUCAAAACACCUUCCACAUUCUGGCAUUGGGGGAUGGGCAGUGUAUUCUGCACCCUCCCCCUCUCCCCUUUGUCUUCUAUCAUAAAGCAAAGUCUUUGCCUCUUGGAAAACCUCACCCAUAUCAUGAAGGCCUGAGCCAGCCAUGCUACUGGCUAAUUCUCAAUAUGAACAGAUAGCCAAGACUCACCAAACACUUGAGAAAAGUCUUCAUGAAGAAAAUCAGACAGACACACAGCUAUGCACAUAUACCCCAUGGCAAAAAAGAAGAAAAUGAAUCCAGAUGAAACAGAUAAUUCUGAGAACAGGAGAGAGGGUUUUUUUUAAAAAAAGGACAGCAGCCUCAGGGAGAACUAAGAAAAUCCUGUAUUCAUACAACAAGAGCAGACACUCACAGAAAAGGAACAAUUGAAAGCCAGAAAGAGUUCUUGGAAAUUACCAUAUGAUUGUCAAAAUGAAAACUUCAAUAGAAAAGCUGAGGAAUCUAAUCUAAGAAUCUUUCAUAUAAUAGAACUAAGAAGGGGCUAGAAAAAAAAAACAGGAAAAAAUGAAGAAAAUAUUAAAAGUGUAAAAAUCAGUAAAAUAGAAAUCAAUCGAUAGAAGAAAAUCAAUAAGAACAAACGUUUUUUAAAAAGAUCAGUAAACUAAACCUCUAGCUAAACUAAUUAAGAAUAAAAGAAGAAAGACAUAAAUUACCAAUAUCAGGAAUAAAAAAGGAGAUAUCAUUAAAUGUUCUAUAGAAAUUAAAACCAUAACAAGAAAAUAAUGUGAACAACUUUAUACCUGUAAGUUAAAAAACUUAGAUGACA
rnacentral:lncRNA from 1 species